AACGUAGGAGACAAACGUUAUCCGGAGUUACUGGGCGUAAAGGGCGUGUAGGUGGUUUCAUAAGUCUGGCGUGAAAUUUUUCGGCUUAACCGGGAAAGGUCGUCGGAUACUGCAGAACUAGAGGACGGUAGAGGCGUGUGGAAUUCCGGGUGUAGUGGUGAAAUGCGUAGAGAUCCGGAGGAACACCAGUGGCGAAGGCGACACGCUGGGCCGUACCUGACACUGAUGCGCGACAGCAUGGGGAGCAAACAGG
rnacentral:rRNA from 1 species